AUUGAACGCUGGCGGCAUGCUUUACACAUGCAAGUCGAACGGCAGCGCGGGCUUCGGCCUGGCGGCGAGUGGCGAACGGGUGAGUAAUGCAUCGGAACGUGCCCAGUAGUGGGGGAUAGCCCGGCGAAAGCCGGAUUAAUACCGCAUACGACCUGAGGGUGAAAGCGGGGGACCGAAAGGCCUCGCGCUAUUUGAGCGGCCGAUGUCGGAUUAGCUAGUUGGUGGGGUAAAGGCUUACCAAGGCGACGAUCCGUAGCUGGUCUGAGUGGACGACCGGCCACACUGGAACUGCGACGCGGUCCAGACUCCGACGGGCGGCCGCAGUAGGGAAUCUUGCGCAAUGGGCGGAAGCCUGACGGAGCAACGCCGCGUGAGUGAUGAAGGUCUUCGGAUCGGAAAACGGUGUUAUUAGGGAAGAAAAAAUGUGUAAGUAACUAUGCACGUCUUGACGGUACCUAAUCAGAAAGCCACGGCUAACUACGUG
rnacentral:rRNA from 1 species